UACGAAGGGGGCUAGCGUUGCUCGGAUUUACUGGGCGUAAAGGGCGCGUAGGCGGCGUGUCAAGUCGAUUGUGAAAUCUCCGGGCUUAACUCGGAACGGCCAAUCGAUACUGACGUGCUAGAGUGCAGAAAGGGCAAUCGGAAUUCUUGGUGUAGCGGUGAAAUGCGUAGAUAUCAAGAGGAACACCUGAGGCGAAGGCGGGUUGCUAGGCUGACACUGACGCUGAGUGCGCGAAAGCCAGGGGAGCAAACGGG
rnacentral:rRNA from 1 species